UACGGAGGAUCCAAGCGUUAUCCGGAUUCAUUGGGUUUAAAGGGUGCGUAGGCGGAAUGAUAAGUCAGUGGUGAAAGCCUGCAGCUUAACUGCAGAACUGCCAUUGAUACUGUCAAUCUUGAGUACAUUUGAUGUGGGCGGAAUGUGUCAUGUAGCGGUGAAAUGCUUAGAUAUGACACAGAAACACCGAUUGCGAAGGCAGCUCACAAAACUGU
rnacentral:rRNA from 1 species